rnacentral:rRNA from 1 species
GACGAACGCUGGCGGCGUGCUUAACACAUGCAAGUCGAACGAGAGCGUAGAGAAAGCUUGCUUUUUCUACAAUCUAGUGGCAAACGGGUGAGUAACGCGUAAACAACCUGCCCUACGGAUGGGGACAACAGCUGGAAACGGCUGCUAAUACCGAAUACGUUCCGAAAGUCGCAUGACUAUCGGAAGAAAGGAUGGCCUCUAUUUAUAAGCUAUCGCCGGAGGAGGGGUUUGCGUCUGAUUAGCUAGUUGGAGGGGUAACGGCCCACCAAGGCGACGAUCAGUAGCCGGUCUGAGAGGAUGAACGGCCACAGUGGAACUGAGACACGGUCCAGACUCCUACGGGAGGCAGCAGUGGGGAAUCUUCCGCAAUGGGCGAAAGCCUGACGGAGCAACGCCGCGUGAGUGAAGACGGCCUUCGGGUUGUAAAGCUCUGUUAUACGGGACGAAUAAUCUUGUGGUUAAUACCCAUGAGAAGUGACGGUACCGUAAGAGAAAGCCACGGCUAACUACGUG